GAUGAACGCUAGCUACAGGCUUAACACAUGCAAGUUGAGGGGAAACGGCAUUAAGUGCUUGCACUUUUUGGACGUCGACCGGCGCACGGGUGAGUAACGCGUAUCCAACCUUCCCAUGACUAAGGGAUAACCUGCCGAAAGGCAGACUAAUACCUUAUGGUCUUCACUGACGGCAUCAGAUGUGAAGUAAAGAUUUAUCGGUUAUGGAUGGGGAUGCGUCUGAUUAGCUUGUUGGCGGGGUAACGGCCCACCAAGGCAACGAUCAGUAGGGGUUCUGAGAGGAAGGUCCCCCACAUUGGAACUGAGACACGGUCCAAACUCCUACGGGAGGCAGCAGUGAGGAAUAUUGGUCAAUGGGCGAGAGCCUGAACCAGCCAAGUAGCGUGCAGGAUGACGGCCCUAUGGGUUGUAAACUGCUUUUGUAUGGGGAUAAAGUCAAUCACGUGUGAUUGUUUGCAGGUACCAUACGAAUAAGGACCGGCUAAUUCCGUG
rnacentral:rRNA from 1 species